rnacentral:lncRNA from 1 species
GUAAAGUUAUGUGCCUGAAUGAAGACAGAAACAACAGGAUUUCCUACAAGGAGUGUGGAUGACGCAUCUCUCUAUGUAGCCAGAGCUCUUCAAGUGCAGUCUGUCAGGACAAGAAGAGGAUUCUUUGUUCAUUUCAUGAAGUUACUGAUUACUUCCUUUCCUGGCUUUGUGUUAGGUGGCAUUGUAACCAUUACCAUGCAGUAUUUGAGGCCAUGCCCUCAGGAGCUUAUAGUAAGAUCCAAUGGAGCAAGAUUAUAGGUGAGCAAACUGACCUUUUUAAUGGGUCUGGGACUUGAAUCCAGGUCUGUCUGACUCUAAUCUGGCAAGAAUGAUUAUAAUAAUAGUUAAUCACUAUUGAGCUACCUACUUUCUUAUCCGCUUGGGAAUCUCUUUUCUUCAUGAAUCAACUCAAGCAUGACUACCCUGAUACUUUCCCUGUAAACCUCUGCAUGGGGUGCUCUAUAUGUUCUCUAAUUAGAAUAUUUAUCUCACCAUAUUGCAAUUGUCUAAAAACACCCAUUUGGAGCACACUGGAUUGUGAACUUGAUGAAGAAAUGGACUGAAUAUAUCUACUGCCUUCUAAAGAUGAACUCCAGGUGGCCCUUCUUUGUGUAACCAACAAUUGAAUUCAAAAUCUCAUGUGGGAUCAUCAGAUGAACAGAGUCUGGAUUAAACGGCUGUGCCCUAGCUGAAAGAGAGGCUGGAAAAGUGAAUUCCUGAUAUCAAUUUUGUGAUAAGGGACUAAUAAC